rnacentral:snoRNA from 1 species
CCACUUGCUUUGAAAAUUACUUGACAAAAUGUUGUAUCGAAAUGAAUAGAUCCUCCAGAGUUAAGCUGCAGUGCCAGAGCAAGUGCUCAUGCAUAAAUGGGGCCACCAAGGCUCUGCAGGUGGCCCUUUUAACCAAGAGCAACAUGG